rnacentral:sRNA from 1 species
CAUACAUCAAUAUAUCAGCGGAAGUUCCCAUUGCGGCUGUGUCGAGAGCUCAAGAGAUCACGUUUUAGUCACAGUGGAUGAUAAUGCUUAAACGCCGAAGCGCGCAAACUGACUGAGAAAAGGCUGUACAGAAAAGGGUUGGUCUGGAGAUUGUAAAGCAGCAAAUGAUACCUGAUAUAGGAAAGCCAGAAGGUGUCUCUGGCGGUUUGCUUUACGAAACUUCUCAGAGCUGUCCUCCUUUACAGAGAGUUGAACACUUGAAACUUGAAUUUCCGGAACUGUCGAUGUUAAAAAAAAAAUCGGAAAUGUUGGAUUCCCUAUGAGGAUGGGUGGAUGGGGUGCAUCAAGUAGGGCAGGAAUUUCUACAUUGAAGUGCUGGGAAAUAGGCGCCUUCUGGUAAUUGACUUUGUCGAUGUACGGAUACGAGUAUUGCAAGAUCCCUGAAGCAAUAAGCGAAGGGUUCUGGAGAGGAUACCCUAAAUUCACGGUUUUGGCUGGUCUGCAUAGAUAGAAGUUAGACGGGAGAAAUUCGAUGGCAUUAUCCCACAUUUUAAAAAUAGGUCAUAUGUUCCAGAAAAUAACCAUUUGGGUUAGUAUUUCGUGGAAUGAACGAUCUGGUCUCGUAAGAGCAAAACCAAAAGCUGAUUGUAAUUUGAAACAAAAGCCAUAGAAAGCAGAGACAGAACAG